CACAGCAUGACGGGUAUUAAGACAAGCCCUCUCCAAGCGGAAAGAUGGCGGCGUUCUAUCGAUCUUUUCAUGACUGGUUCUGGGCCGAGUCAUUCUGGUUACCGGGGAACACUACAUGGGCCGAGGUUCACGCUAGAAAAAACCUUCGAGUUGUUCAAGCAGGGGAAUUGUACUUGUGUCUCCCCAUCGCAGUAGCUUUGAUAGUGCUUCGAGUCGCUUUUGAAAGGCUUAUUGCUAGUCCUUUUGUGCAGUCUCUGGGAGUUAAGGACAAGAAGAUAAAUUUCACUCCUAACCCUUUUUGUGAAAAAGUCUACCAGACAAUAAACAAGUUCCCACCUUCAGACAGGAUACUCGGGCUGUCCAAACAGAUCGGCUGGACGACUCGGGAAGUGGAGAGAUGGUUCAGACACCGACGCAUGCAGUCCAAACCUUCACUUCUUAAGAAAGCCAAGGAAAGCAGUUGGAGAUUUGUUUUUUAUACUGGGGCAACAAUAUAUGGGUUCUGUAUCUUAUACAAGGAAAAAUGGCUUUGGGACACAGAUCACUGUUUUAUAGGCUAUCAUGGGCAUGUGAUGUCAGAAGAGCUAUACAUUUAUUAUGUUGUAGAGCUUGGGUUCUACGUUUCUCUUACAAUCUCACAGUUUGUAGACGUACAAAGGAAGGACUUUUGGCAGAUGCUCAUCCACCACAUUGUCACCAUUCUUCUGCUCUCGUUUUCGUAUGCAGCAGCGUUUUUCCGCAUAGGUGCUGUCAUUGUGCUAGUCCAUGAUGUAUCUGAUGUCUUUUUAGAGGCAGCAAAAGUAGCAAACUACGCAAAACUUCGACAACUUUGUGACUGUCUUUUUGUCUUGUUUGCUAUCAGUUUUUUUGUGGCUAGACUGUUUAUUUACCCUGUUUGGGUUAUAUAUCCAACUGUGUAUGUAACUGUUGAGUAUCUAGGAGACUUCCCAUCACGGAUUCUCUUUCUCACACUGCUCUCCCUUCUGCAGGUAAUAUUCCUAGUCUUAUCUUUCUUCCCUCUCAAAGUCUUAUUGUGUACUAAUACUAAAAAACUCUUAUCACUGCAAAUCCUACCUUUUAUAUUCUAACAUUUUGCUAAGCAAUGCUAUGACAAAUAUACACCAUGAAGUACAGCUCAAACAUUUAUUUAUUCGAUCAUUCAUUUAGCCACACACAGCACACUGUGAAUGCUUUUUCCCUGAAUUCUGUGGGAUGCUUGAGUGAAAUCUUCAGGCUUGUAUCCAUCAAACAACCAAAAAAAGAUAGGAAUUAAUUUGAUUUGUGGCAGCCAGAUUCAAGGUAUCAUGAUAUCAGUUUUUGUAGAACAUUAUCUUUUGGAAGGUGCUGUGUUCAUAGUUUGCAAAGUCAGUUUUUCAACUUAAGAGAAUAACGUUGUAAUAUCAUUGACUACUACCCAUUUGUGAGGACUUUUUAAGCCUCAGAACAAAAACAAAACAAACUCAUUAGAGUUUUUAACCUUUCUUGGCACAUAACUUGAUGCUAAACACUGGACAAAGUCACUUUUAUCCCAAUUUUAUUUUAUUCAUCACAUUUUAUGGUUCUGACAAAUCAAUCAUGUGUUAGCAAGUAGCCAAUCAGAAAGGAGGACGUUAAAGCAGCCACAUGCAAGCAGUGCUCCUGCAAAAGUCUUGCAAAAUUGUUUUACAAAGUCUACAAAGUCUAAUAAACACUUCUGGUCAGCUUAGGAAAUGUUAGUCUUCCUGAGAUGGUAAAGAAUUUGUAAAACAUUUCUGUGUGAGUUUUGCCGAACAAUAUGGCUCGCAUUAUGUGAGCUCUAUUCUUGCUACUGCUUAAGGCUGAGUGACAGGUCGGAACUAUGCAUUGUGUAGAAUGAGUAACAAAACAUAAAGCACUCUGUUUGCCUUGUCAGCAAUUCUUCAAAGCUGCAUUAUUGCAUUUUAUCUUGUUUUGUUCUGUUAUAUUUUUGUUUUGAUUUUUUUGAUAGUUUAUUUACAGGUGCCACUCCCUGCACAUUCAUGCAGCUAAGAUAUCAAUUAGGUUUUAGUUAUUAUUUGUCUUUUGCUUUGUGUUUGUUUGGUUUAGUUAUUUUUUAUACUAUUUUAGCACAUUGCAUGCACUUUUUGUUUGAACUAUAUCAAAUUGAUUUUGUUAAUAAAAAAAUAUUUCUCAUCCUCAAUCAAUAUUAUCCCUUUCACUCUUCUCCAAAUCAGUGUUAAUCUUCUAUUGGUGCAUAUAAUAGCAUGAUAUGCUUCCAUCUUACCUGGCAUUUGAGAAUGCUAUAAACAUGACCAGGCGUCCUGCAACUUACCACCCAGAAGCAUACAUAACUUACCUGAAUUUUUUAUUUGAAAAUUGAUUUCAAUACCCUAUUGCCAACUAGAAUUGCAUUCCCAAUAAACCAUCCUCUUGCUUAUUUUUUUAAUGAAACAUCCUUUAGAAGCAUGGGAUAAAAUCCCCUCAAAGAGAAAGGGAAAAAAGAAAGACUAAAAAGAAUUCAACCCAGCUAAAAUAUGCCAAUUCAAGUACACUCCCCCAACCCCAUGGAUGAAUGUCAAUCAAGUUUUAUGAAACAUGUAUUUUGCAUGCUCAUUACUAAUUUUGACAUGUAUUUUUUUAUUUACUCCUUGGUUGAUGUUCAAAAAGAAAAAUUAUUUCUUAUUGCAUUGUUUAGAUCCUCCAUAUUUUCUGGGGUUGGAGCAUCAUUGUAGUUGUGUACAGACUCUCGCAUGGCAAGGAUGCCAAAGAUGUGCGUAGUGACGAGGAAAGCUCCGCUG